UCUUAGUGGCGGACGGGUGAGUAACGCGUAGGUAACCUGCCUUAUACAGGGGGAUAACACUUAGAAAUAGGUGCUAAUACCGCAUAAGCGCACGGGGCUGCAUGGCCCAGUGUGAAAAACUCCGGUGGUAUAAGAUGGACCCGCGUCUGAUUAGCUUGUUGGCGGGGUAACGGCCCACCAAGGCGACGAUCAGUAGCCGGCCUGAGAGGGUGGACGGCCACAUUGGGACUGAGACACGGCCCAAACUCCUACGGAAGGCAGCAG
rnacentral:rRNA from 1 species